GGAAAGAUAAAAUAUCAUAAAGCCAUUAAACGGGCAGGCUAUUAAGAACAAACGCAGGGAGGGAUUACAUCUAAAGCUAAAAUCGCCCAGAAAUUUAGCUGCCAAACAAUGAGCAGCUUCAUUCCCUUCUCUUUUAACAAAAGUAAAAGUAAAAGAAAUACAGUGGACUGAACUAGCUAAAAAUGAGAUCAAAGAUAAUCUCUUGAAUAGACAAGGGAGCUAGACUUCCA
rnacentral:misc_RNA from 1 species